rnacentral:rRNA from 1 species
CAGCCUAACACAUGCAAGUCGAACGGCAGCACAGGAGAGCUUGCUCUCUGGGUGGCGAGUGGCGGACGGGUGAGGAAUACAUCGGAAUCUACUCUGUCGUGGGGGAUAACGUAGGAAACUUACGCUAAUACCGCAUACGACCUACGGGUGAAAGCAGGGGACCUUCGGGCCUUGCGCGAUUGAAUGAGCCGAUGUCGGAUUAGCUAGUUGGCGGGGUAAAGGCCCACCAAGGCGACGAUCCGUAGCUGGUCUGAGAGGAUGAUCAGCCACACUGGAACUGAGACACGGUCCAGACUCCUACGGGAGGCAGCAGUGGGGAAUAUUGGACAAUGGGCGCAAGCCUGAUCCAGCCAUACCGCGUGGGUGAAGAAGGCCUUCGGGUUGUAAAGCCCUUUUGUUGGGAAAGAAAUCCAGCUGGCUAAUACCCGGUUGGGAUGACGGUACCCAAAGAAUAAGCACCGGCUAACUUCGUGCCAGCAGCCGCGGUAAUACGAAGGGUGCAAGCGUUACUCGGAAUUACUGGGCGUAAAGCGUGCGUAGGUGGUCGUUUAAGUCCGUUGUGAAAGCCCUGGGCUCAACCUGGGAAC